rnacentral:rRNA from 1 species
CGAACGCACAUUGCGGAAUCGGGUUCUUCCCGGUUCCAGGUUCUCUUGACGGCGUCAUU